ensembl:lncRNA
GUUUUAUUCUUUGACAAUCUCAUACAUGUAUAUAGUGUGGUUUUUCAAUCUUAAAUUUUUAUUCUUAUUAUUUUAAUUAUGUAUAUUGGUGUGUCUGUAUGUAGCUAUGUGCCCCUGAGUGUGGGAGUCCUACUCAUGUAUGUUGUGUGUGUCUGUAUGUAGCUAUGUGCCCCUGAGUGUGGGAGUCCUACUCAUGUAUGUUGUUUGUGUCUGUAUAUAGCUAUGUACCUCUGAGUGUGGGAGUCCUACUCAUGUACAUUGUAUGUGUCUGUAUGGAGCUUUGUGCCCCUAAGUGUGGCAGUCCUUGGAAGCCAGAAGCUGCAGAUCGUCCUGGAGCUGGUCAUACAGGCAGUUGUGAGCCCCGACGAUUCAGGUCGUCUGGAGGAUCAGCCUACACCCGGUUCUCAGUACCAUGGAGGCGUGGGCCCGGACAAGGAGGGUUGUCGUGAGUUUUGAGAGCAGACUGUUCUACAAAACAAUGAAAAAUCCUGAACAAAGUAUUACUGGGAGCUGGGGAGAUGCCAGUAUCACCGAUUGUUUGCCAUGCAAGCAUAAAGACUUGAGUUGGACUGGAGAGAUGGCUCAGUGGUUAAGAACACUGACUGCUCUUCCAGAGGUCCCAAGUUCAAACCCCAGCAACCACAUGGUGGCUCACAACCAUCUGUAAUGAGAUCUGAUGCUUUCAUCUGGUGUGUCUGAAGACAGCUACAAUGCACUCAUAUAUAAUAAAUAAAUAAGUCUUUAAAAAAAAUGGAGAAAUGGCUCAGAGGUUAAGAGCACUGUCUGCUCUUCCAGAGGUCAUGAGUUCAAUUCCCAGCAACCACAUGGUGGCUCACAACCAUCUAUAAUGAGAUCUGGUGCCCUCUUCUGGCCUGCAC